rnacentral:rRNA from 1 species
AUUGAACGCUGGCGGCAUGCCUUACACAUGCAAGUCGAACGGUAACAGGUUAAGCUGACGAGUGGCGAACGGGUGAGUAAUAUAUCGGAACGUGCCCAGUUGUGGGGGAUAACUGCUCGAAAGAGCAGCUAAUACCGCAUACGACCUGAGGGUGAAAGCGGGGGAUCGCAAGACCUCGCGCAAUUGGAGCGGCCGAUGUCAGAUUAGCUAGUUGGCGGGGUAAAAGCCCACCAAGGCGACGAUCUGUAGCUGGUCGGAGAGGACGACCAGCCACACUGGGACUGAGACACGGCCCAGACUCCUACGGGAGGCAGCAGUGGGGAAUUUUGGACAAUGGACGCAAGUCUGAUCCAGCCAUGCCGCGUGCGGGAAGAAGGCCUUCGGGUUGUAAACCGCUUUUGUCAGGGAAGAAACGGCUUUUUCUAAUACAGAGAGCUAAUGACGGUACCUGAAGAAUAAGCACCGGCUAACUACGUGCCAGCCGCCGCCGUAA